GCUUACACAUGCAGUCGAGGGGUAUGGUUCUUCGGAGCCAGAGACCGGCGCACGGGUGCGUAACGCGUAUGCAAUCUACCUUUUACAGCGGGAUAGCCCAGAGAAAUUUGGAUUAAUACCUCAUAGUAUAUAGAGUUGGCAUCAACACUAUAUUAAAGUCACAACGGUAAAAGAUGAGCAUGCGUCCCAUUAGCUAGUUGGUAAGGUAACGGCUUACCAAGGCUACGAUGGGUAGGGGUCCUGAGAGGGAGAUCCCCCACACUGGUACUGAGACACGGACCAGACUCCUACGGGAGGCAGCAGUGAGGAAUAUUGGACAAUGGGCGCAAGCCUGAUCCAGCCAUGCCGCGUGCAGGAUGACGGUCCUAUGGAUUGUAAACUGCUUUUAUACGAGAAGAAACACUCCUUCGUGAAGGAAUUUGACGGUAUCGUAAGAAUAAGGAUCGGCUAACUCCGUGCCAGCAGCCGCGGUAAUACGGAGGAUCCAAGCGUUAUCCGGAAUCAUUGGGUUUAAAGGGUCCGUAGGCGGUCUUGUAAGUCAGUGGUGAAAGCCCAUCGCUCAACGGUGGAACGGCCAUUGAUACUGCUGGACUUGAAUUAUUAGGAAGUAACUAGAAUAUGUAGUGUAGCGGUGAAAUGCUUAGAGAUUACAUGGAAUACCAAUUGCGAAGGCAGGUUACUACUAAUUGAUUGACGCUGAUGGACGAAAGCGUGGGUAGCGAACAGGAUAAAAAAUCCCCUUGG
rnacentral:rRNA from 1 species